UCACCCAGCCCCACCUUCCACCAUUGGUUGAACCAGCCAAACUGUUGAGAUUCUGUCUGGGACCGCAUGAAGUCCGUGGGUGGGGAAGUCACUCGGCUCCCCAGGACAGAGCACUGCAGUUCUCUGGAUUGCAGAGGUCACCCCAUGCUGUCCAGGGUUGGACUCUGUCUUCCAGCAGCCUAGAGGCGCCUUAUAUAAAACGCUCUGUAAUUCCCGGUGUCAGGAGGAAGAAGGAUCAUCCUUCUUCCGUCAUGCUGCUUUAUGUUCCGAAGCCCCUGUUAGAUUCCUGGCACCCUGAGCCAUGGCGGCCACCGCUUUUUAGCACUGUAAUGGCUUCAUCCGGGAAAACCAAAUUGUAUAAAAAUGCAUGCAGGAAGAGCCCUUGGUG
rnacentral:lncRNA from 1 species